rnacentral:lncRNA from 1 species
AAGAAGAUCAGCGCUGCUUUUGAUCUUUUGCGAAAAUUCCCCAGGAGCACUUUGGCAUUCCUCUCCUAUGUGCAGAUCGGAAACGGAAAUUCUCCGCUACAAAGAAAGCAACUCAAGGAGGAAGCAGCACUGAAUCACGAAUUUUGGAAUUACGGUGGCUUCUUUUUCCAAGCUGAACUGAUGCAAGAAUUUGGAACCCGAAACUUUAUUAGAGAGAGGAAGAAUCCAACAGUAUCUGGAAAUCCCCUUCUUACAGUGCCUUCUUCCCGUUGGCCCCACUUUUGGACAGCAAAGGUUCUCUGCUCCACCACUGACCUACAGAUCUCCCCACGUGUACCUUUAUCUACUCUUGAAGAACAGAUUCAUCCCAUUGGCGAUUCACUCCCAUCCAUUGACCGCUUCGUCCUGAUUCUGUUUUGCAAAAAAUUUCCUGCGUCUGUGACGUGCUCGUUACUAUCGGGCAGGUGGAUGGAUGUCAUAAAUUGCCCACGCCAUUUUCACUCUGCAAACUGAAGGGUGACACUUGCGCCAAAGGUAAUUUCCUUUCAUUUUAAAUAUAAUAAUCGCUCAGCCAUGCCU